rnacentral:rRNA from 1 species
AUUGAACGCUGGCGGCAUGCCUUACACAUGCAAGUCGAACGGUAACGGGCCUUCGGGUGCCGACGAGUGGCGAACGGGUGAGUAAUAUAUCGGAACGUACCUUUAAGUGGGGGAUAACGUAGCGAAAGUUACGCUAAUACCGCAUAUUCUGUGAGCAGGAAAGCAGGGGACCUUCCGGCCUUGCGCUGAUUGAGCGGCCGAUAUCAGAUUAGCUAGUUGGUGAGGUAAAGGCUCACCAAGGCGACGAUCUGUAGCGGGUCUGAGAGGAUGAUCCGCCACACUGGAACUGAGACACGGUCCAGACUCCUACGGGAGGCAGCAGUGGGGAAUCUUGGACAAUGGGGGCAACCCUGAUCCAGCCAUGCCGCGUGAGUGAAGAAGGCCUUCGGGUUGUAAAGCUCUUUCGGCCGGGAAGAAAUCGUAUGGGCUAAUACCCUGUGCGGAUGACGGUACCGGCAUAAGAAGCACCGGCUAACUACGUGCCAGCCGCCGCGGUAACAC